rnacentral:rRNA from 1 species
UACAGAGGUCCCGAGCGUUGUUCGGAUUCACUGGGCGUAAAGGGUGCGUAGGUGGCUUGAAAAGUUUGAUGUGAAAGCUCAGGGCUUAACCCUGAAAUGGCAUUGAAUACUGUCGAGCUGGAGGUUUGGAGGGGGGACUGGAAUUCUUGGUGUAGCAGUGAAAUGCGUAGAUAUCAAGAGGAACACCAGUGGCGAAGGCGAGUCCCUGGACAACACCUGACACUGAGGCACGAAAGCUAGGGAAGCAAACAGG